rnacentral:rRNA from 1 species
GCGGCCUAUCAGCUUGUUGGCGGGGUAAUGGCCCACCAAGGCAACGACGGGUAGCUGGUCUGAGAGGAUGGUCAGCCACACUGGGACUGAGACACGGCCCAGACUCCUACGGGAGGCAGCAGUGGGGAAUCUUGCGCAAUGGGCGAAAGCCUGAUGCAGCGAUGCCGCGUGCGGGAAGAAGGCCUUAGGGUUGUAAACCGCUUUCAGGAGGGAAGAAAAUGACGGUACCUCCAGAAGAAGGUGCGGCCAACUACGUGCCAGCAGCCGCGGUGACACGUAGGCACCAAGCGUUAUCCGGAUUUAUUGGGCGUAAAGAGCUCGUAGGCGGUUUGGUAAGUCGGGUGUGAAAACUCUGGGCUCAACCCAGAGAGGCCACUCGAUACUGCUAUGACUAGAGUACGGUAGGGGAGACUGGAAUUCCU